GAGUGAACGCUGGCGGUAGGCCUAACACAUGCAAGUCGAACGGCAGCACAGUAAGAGCUUGCUCUUACGGGUGGCGAGUGGCGGACGGGUGAGGAAUACAUCGGAAUCUACUUUUUCGUGGGGGAUAACGUAGGGAAACUUACGCUAAUACCGCAUACGACCUACGGGUGAAAGCAGGGGAUCUUCGGACCUUGCGCGAUUGAAUGAGCCGAUGUCGGAUUAGCUAGUUGGCGGGGUAAAGGCCCACCAAGGCGACGAUCCGUAGCUGGCCUGAGAGGAUGAUCAGCCACACUGGAACUGAGACACGGUCCAGACUCCUACGGGAGGCAGCAGUGGGGAAUAUUGGACAAUGGGCGCAAGCCUGAUCCAGCCAUACCGCGUGGGUGAAGAAGGCCUUCGGGUUGUAAAGCCCUUUUGUUGGGAAAGAAAAGCAGCAGGUUAAUACCCCGCUGUUCUGACGGUACCCAAAGAAUAAGCACCGGCUAACUUCGUG
rnacentral:rRNA from 1 species